rnacentral:tRNA from 2 species
GGGCGAUUAGCUCAGUGGGAGAGCACUUCCUUGACACGGAAGGGGUCACUGGUUCAAUCCCAGUAUCGCCCACCA